rnacentral:rRNA from 1 species
UACGCCCUUCGGGGGAAAGAUUUAUCGGAGAAGGAUCGGCCCGCGUAAGAUUAGAUAGUUGGUGGGGUAAUGGCCUACCAAGUCUACGAUCUUUAGCUGGUUUGAGAGGAUGAUCAGCAACACUGGGACUGAGACACGGCCCAGACUCCUACGGGAGGCAGCAGUGGGGAAUCUUAGACAAUGGGGGAAACCCUGAUCUAGCCAUGCCGCGUGAGUGACGAAGGCCUUAGGGUCGUAAAGCUCUUUCGCUGGGGAAGAUAAUGACGGUAGCAGGUAAAGAAACCCCGGCUAACUCCGUGCCAGCAGCCGCGGUAAUACGGAGGGGGUUAGCGUUGUUCGGAAUUACUGGGCGUAAAUCGCGCGUAGGCGGACCAGAAAGUUGGGGGUGAAAUCCCGGGGCUCAACCCCGGAACUGCCUCCAAAACUCCUGGUCUUGAGUUCGAGAGGGGUGAGUGGAAUUCCGAGUGUAGAGGCGAAAUUCGUAGAUAUUCGGAGGAACACCAAUGGCGAAGGCGGCUCACUGGCUCGAUACUGACGCUGAGGUGCGAAAGUGUGGGGAGCAAACGGGAUUAGAUACCCUGGUA